CGCGCUGUGUACCCUGCUCUUUGUGCCAUGGCAGCAAGCUGUCCAUGCUGCCAACCGCUUCAAUGAGUCUAUCAGUGUGCUGCGAUGCCAGGCCUACUGCCCUGAUGGACUGGAGAGGUGCCAGUCCUGUACCAAAUAACACCAACCACUGGCUGUGUGUGUGCCCAUUGUCUCUCCUGCCUGAGAUUCCUGGUUCAAAUCAACCCAAGAUGAUAAACACUGAAGAUGGGACAAAGUGCAUGACAAGGUGGCCCAGAAGAAGCCAGCUGUUCUCAAACCCUACAUUUCCCCAUUCUAAAAAGAGUUGUUGAAUGAAUACCUCUAGUGGAGGGGUGAGAAGAGCCCCAUGAGGAUCGUUACAGAGCCCCAUGAGGAACACCUGGUGCUGCGCUGACAUCUCUCUCCUGGAUGCUCUCUUGCCCAAACUGUCCCUUUGUGUGUUUCACCACCUCUGAACCCUCCUAACCCAAAUAGAGUUGCCCCUGACCAU